ACCCCCCACCCCCGCCCGCGUCCCGUCGGCGGAGGCAGCGGGCAGAGGACCCCAGAGGACCCGUGUGUCAGCAUCGGCAAUGCUCAGUCUCCUCGUGGGCCUGACUCAGAAGAACCAUUCCUCGUUUGUCGGCGCCCCCGGCUUCCUCGGCCUAGCCUGCCCCUUGCACUCGCCAAGCUGUGUGGUCUCGGGCCAGUUGCCUAACCUCUGCCUCCACCGCUCCUUCCCUCCUUCCGCAGGUAAACUCUGCAAGUUGGACGCGAAGAGAGCGCUGAGCGCAAGUCUGGCCCAGCCGAGGAGAAGCGUCUGGCUACGGUAUAGCGCACGCGGCUCACUCGUUUCGGUGUCACAGGCACGACGCCUCCACUGGUACCUCGUGGCACCUAGGACCCACAUCCUGGACCACUCAAACCCCCAGCUCUGCUAACCUCAGCCGCACUUUCACGGUUUGUGGGAGCAACUGACCGUUGUACUACUGUUUUUCUCUUUCUGGUUUAGGUUGUUCAUUUCCCUAAAGCUGUUUUUAAGUUUUAGUUUUACCUUUUUUUUUUUUUUCCCUUAAGUUUUCAUUUACUUAUGAAAAGCAGAGAGGGAGGGGGAGAGAGAGAGAGAGAGAAGAGAGGGAGAGAGAAGCAGGCUCCAUGCAGGGAGCCUGACGUGGGACCCGAUCUUGGAUCCCCAGGAUCACGUCCGGGGCUGAAGACGGCGCUAAACCGCUGAGCCACCCAGGCCUGCCCCCUUAAAACCCUUAAGACACCUGGGCGGUUCAGGGGUCGAGUGUCUGCCCUCAUGAAUCUAGGGCCUGAUCCCAGAGUCCUGGGAUCGAGGUCCGCAAAGGGCUCUCUGCAGGGAGCUUGCUUCUCCCUCUUCUUCCUCUGCUUAGGUCUCUACCUCUCUCCGUGUUUCUCAUGAAUAAAGAGAAUAUUUAAAAUCA
rnacentral:lncRNA from 12 species